rnacentral:rRNA from 1 species
AUACAGCGAAACUGCGAAUGGCUCAUUAAAUCAGUUAUCGUUUAUUUGAUAGUACCUUACUACUUGGAUAACCGUGGUAAUUCUAGAGCUAAUACAUGCUAAAAACCCCGACUCACGAAGGGGUGUAUUUAUUAGAUUAAAAACCAAUGCCCUUCGGGGCUCUUUGGUGAUUCAUAAUAACUUUUCGAAUCGCAUGGCCUUGCGCCGGCGAUGGUUCAUUCAAAUUUCUGCCCUAUCAACUUUCGAUGGCAGGGUCUUGGCCUGCCAUGGUUACAACGGGUAACGGAGGGUUAGGGCUCGACCCCGGAGAAGGAGCCUGAGAAACGGCUACUACAUCCAAGGAAGGCAGCAGGCGCGCAAAUUACCCAAUCCCGAUUCGGGGAGGUAGUGACAAUAAAUACUGAUACAGGGCUCUUUUGGGUCUUGUAAUUGGAAUGAGUACAAUUUAAAUCCCUUAACGAGGAACAAUUGGAGGGCAAGUCUGGUGCCAGCAGCCGCGGUAAUUCCAGCUCCAAUAGCGUAUAUUAAAGUUGUUGCAGUUAAAAAGCUCGUAGUUGAACCUUGGGCCUGGCUGGCCGGUCCGCCUCACCGCGUGCACUGGUUCGGCCGGGCCUUUCCCUCUGGGGAACCUCAUGGUCUUCACUGAUCGUGAUGGGGAACCAGGACUUUUACUGUGAAAAAAUUAGAGUGUUCAAAGCAGGCCUAUGCUCGAAUACAUUAGCAUGGAAUAAUAAAAUAGGACGUGUGGUUCUAUUUUGUUGGUUUCUAGGACCGCCGUAAUGAUUAAUAGGGACAGUCGGGGGCAUCAGUAUUCAAUUGUCAGAGGUGAAAUUCUUGGAUUUAUUGAAGACUAACUACUGCGAAAGCAUUUGCCAAGGAUGUUUUCAUUAAUCAGGAACGAAAGUUAGGGGAUCGAAGACGAUCAGAUACCGUCGUAGUCUUAACCAUAAACUAUGCCGACUAGGGAUCGGACGGUGUUACUUAUUGACCCGUUCGGCACCUUA